rnacentral:rRNA from 1 species
AGGGAAUAUUGGGCAAUGGGCGAGAGCCUGACCCAGCCAUGCCGCGUGCAGGAAGAAGGCUUUCUGAGUCGUAAACUGCUUUUGACAGGGAAGAAUAAGCAUUACGUGUAAUGCGAUGACGGUACCUGCAGAAUAAGCACCGGCUAACUCCGUGCCAGCAGCCGCGGUAAUACGGAGGGUGCGAGCGUUGUCCGGAUUUAUUGGGUUUAAAGGGUGCGUAGGCGGCCGUUUAAGUCUGGGGUGAAAGCCCGCUGCUCAACAGCGGAACUGCCCUGGAUACUGGAUGGCUUGAGUACAGACGAGGUUGGCGGAAUGGACUGAGUAGCGGUGAAAUGCAUAGAUACAGUCCAGAACCCCGAUUGCGAAGGCAGCUGACUAGGCUGUUACUGACGCUGAGGCACGAAAGCGUGGGGAGCGAAC